CUCCUCCUUUCCCCCGCAGUAGGGAAUCUUCCACAAUGGGCGAAAGCCUGAUGGAGCAACGCCGCGUGGGUGAAGAAGGUCUUCGGAUCGUAAAACCCUGUUGUUAGAGAAGAAAGUGCGUGAGAGUAACUGUUCACGUUUCGACGGUAUCUAACCACAAAGCCACGGCUAACUACGUGCCAGCAGCCGCGGUAAUACGUAGGUGGCAAGCGUUAUCCGGAUUUAUUGGGCGUAAAGGGAACGCAGGCGGUCUUUUAAGUCUGAUGUGAAAUCCUUCGGCUUAACCGGAGUAGUGCAUUGGAAAC
rnacentral:rRNA from 1 species